rnacentral:rRNA from 1 species
UGAGCAACCUGCCCUUAGCUCUGGGAUAACCCCGGGAAACCGGGGCUAAUACCGGAUACGAGUCCGAGCGGCAUCACGCGGACUGGAAAGUUCUUCGGCUAAGGAUGGGCUCGCGGCCUAUCAGCUAGUUGGUGGGGUAAUGGCCUACCAAGGCGACGACGGGUAGCCGGCCUGAGAGGGCGACCGGCCACACUGGGACUGAGACACGGCCCAGACUCCUACGGGAGGCA